UGUAAUCUGUAAACCCACUGUGCUGGUUGAAGUAGAUUACUUUUGCCGGCUCUUCCAAGUAACCAAAACAUCUAGUUUCCCCAACAGAGAUCCAUCCAGUAUUUUGGUCAGUCGUGCCUCAUGGUAUAUGUGAAUAACCAGUGGUUUAAAUGGGGAACCACAUCUGCUUCUGGAAUCCUACCAAGUGGGAUCUUGGAGCAGGUUACGCCGGAGGAAGCCUGCGUCACUUGCUGUAUGUGAAAGUGAAGUGUGAGGAGGUCGCCAUCAUCAGCCGGGGCCCCUGGGGCUUCUGAACUUACCAUCUGCCUCAACAGGCUGGAGUUUCUAAACUGCACGAAAAGCCCCAGCGAGUUGCCACCCAUCGCAGGCACCAGAUGCUCGGCCAUGCCCUCCACUCGGUAUUAUCCCAGCACUUACCACGUCGGCACAGUGGGGUCAGCAUGACAGUGCUCUCAUGGCAAAGAUGGGGAGACCAACUUUCCCGUCACAGCAGGGACACAGUGGGCAGGGAUUUGAACCUGGAAUCGACGUCAGCGUCCACCGUCUUACCCACGGUGAAGUAGCUUUUGCUUGUCUAGCAUGCACACGUAUGACCAUUCUGAGGCUGUCAGUGGAUGAAGGUGUAGGGAGUCCACAGGGGAGCAUGAAGCCGGCAUGGAAGGACCAUCGCCCUCUCAACAGUGCCCUGCUGCUGGUGCUUACCAGUGGAGGAACUGCUACCGAGCUCAUUAGCCACCAGGAUGUCCAGAAGCAAAGUGAUUGAGGGUCCAGUCUUCCUACCACCAUGAAGUUGCUAAGCACGCUGCAGAGGCCCCUGACCACCACCUACUGUGGCCAAGGUUGUGGAGAUCCUGUCGGACCUGCUGUUGUGCCCCUGGUUUUGGAGAGAUGCUGCUUCCUCGUGGACCAUUAGCUGGAUGCUCCUCCCUCCACCUCAAACACAGUGACAUCCAUAGUCUUCUAGUCGUGUUUGGUUUCUUACUGGCUGUGGGCUGGGGAAAGGGUCUCCAUCUCAGUAACAGUAUGUCCUGCAAGGACUCAGGGUUCUAGCUGACCUUCCCCUCAGGCGUCUCUGUCCAGCCCUGAGUGAGUCUCUUAGAAAAUGAACAGUUACUUUAACUUGACAACAGAGUUUGUUAAAGUUCUCGGAGUUAAAUAAAUGGUGUGACUAGCACA